rnacentral:rRNA from 1 species
AAUCAACGCUGGCGGCGUGCCUCAGAUAUGCAAGUCGAACGAUUAAGACUUCCUUCGGGAAGUGCAUAAAGUGGCGCACGGGUGAGUAACACGUAAGUAAUCUACCCUCGAGUGGGGAAUAACGUUCGGAAACGAACGCUAAUACCGCAUAACGCAGCGGCACCGCAAGGUGACAGUUGUUAAAGGAGCAAUCCGCUUGAGGAGGAGCUUGCGGCAGAUUAGCUAGUUGGUAAGGUAAUGGCUUACCAAGGCUACGAUCUGUAUCCGGUCUAAGAGGACGGUCGGACACACUGACACUGAAUAACGGGUCAGACUCCUACGGGAGGCAGCAGUCGGGAAUUUUGGGCAAUGGGCGAAAGCCUGACCCAGCAACGCCGCGUGAAGGAUGAAGUAUUUCGGUAUGUAAACUUCGAAAGAAUGGGAAGAAUAAAUGGCGGUACCAUUUAUAAGCUCCGGCUAACUACGUGCCAGCAGCCGCCGUAACAC